GGGGAUGACAGGGUUCGAUAGAUGGACCUAGUUAUCUUUUAUACGCAUGUCGAGGUUGUAUUCUUUUCCUCGUAAAUACCAAGAAUACACGAUAUAAGUGCAAACUUUUUAUCAAGAGUGAAGAACACUGUAGCUUCGGCUUUCAGCGUACCUUCAUUCGCAUCUGUAGUGGUUUAAGUACUACUACCAUCGCUCUCAUGAUACUCAAUAGUGAAUCAGCGGUGUCAAAUCAUUGAGUGUAGGGCGGGGCCCCCUCCUGUGGGCCUUGUCUGAAGUCAAUUCAGGAUUACUUAGUAUCUUUUUGCUAGUUUCAAAAAUAUUAAGGAAUCACCAAACUAGCUAAACAUGUAGACUAUUGGGGUAACCCAUUUAGACCCGGGUUCAAUUCCCGGCAUCUCCACUU
rnacentral:tmRNA from 1 species